rnacentral:rRNA from 1 species
AAAACNACUCUCGGCAACGGAUAUCUCGGCUCUCGCAUCGAUGAAGAACGNAGCGAAAUGCGAUACUUGGUGUGAAUUGCAGAAUCCCGUGAACCAUCGAGUCUUUGAACGCAAGUUGCGCCCGAAGCCGUCAGGCCGAGGGCACGUCUGCCUGGGCGUCACGC